CUGCACUCACUUUGGCAGCAGAUAUACUAAAACUGGAACAAUACAGAAAGGAUUAGAAAGGCCUCUGUGAAAGGAUGACAUGCAAAUUCAUGAAGCCAUCCAUAUUUUG